rnacentral:lncRNA from 1 species
GUUACUAAUCUUGAGGCACUGCAUGCCACCAACAAAGCCUUACAAUCUGGUGGAAUGUCGAAGAUAAAGGACGUAAGCUCUGUAGUGGCUGCGCAUAGAGACCACUCUCCCAUGAAAUACCAACCCUACCCUCCAACUCCCUCACAUACAAACCCUCUCUAAAUUACCAGGAACCUUCACCUACAUAUCAAAAUCCACAUCCUGUCUACCAAACAUCUCCAACACCAACAUAUCAGCCCACCUCGCUAGGACAUUCUCAACCCGCACCCGUAUACCAAGCUUACAACUCCCAACCUCCUCACUAUCCAGCACCACCUACCCGCCAAAACGUCCCAUGACCAAGACCAAAUUUUGACCGCAAACCGCCCAGACAAUACACCGCUAUUGUCGAAACCAUUGACCAACCGUAUGAGAAGCUCAAAGCCGUCGGAUAUGUUACACCCAUCCUAGCUAUAGCCCCAGAAAACCCUUCCUAAUGGAUCAACCCAAAUAAAAUCUACGCAUACCAUUCGUGUAUGAAGGGCCAUACCAUCGACUAGUGCUAUUCGUUGAAGGACAAAAUUCAGACCUUAAUUGACAACAAGAUCAUUCGCAAAAACCCUCUAUCAGACCAUAAUGGUGGAGGCAUCCACAUGAUUGAGGUUGAAGAUGACUAGGACCCCAAAGGGUCAAUCGAUUUGAUAUCUGAGGCAGAUGAGCCCAAGAAGCUGACAGUCACUCUUAAUCCUAUUGUUGUGCAAAUCCAGCCAUCUGAGGGAAACAUGGUGUAUAUAUCUAUACCACUUG